GAUGAAGAACGCAGUGAAACGCGAUACGUAAUGUGAAUUGCAGAAUUCAGUGAAUCAUCGAAUCUUUGAACACACCUUGCGCCCCUCGGCAUUCCGAGGGGCAUGCCUGUUUGAGUGUCACGGAUCCUUCGAACCCCGCCGGUCUCCGACGAGCCGGCCGCCUGGGUUCGGUCCUGGGCGCUACGCCACCCCUCCGGGGCUGGCCUGCCUCAAAAGCAUCAGCUGGGCCUCGCGGCGUGGGCGGGCUCAGAUCGGCGUGAUAAGUCAUCUGCCGAGAGGGUGCCCGUCCGUCCCGCGGAUCGCGGUCCGCUCCCAACCCCUCCCCGCGCGCCGUCCCCCCCCGGGGAGCGCGCGGGGACGUUUCGACGCUCUGGCCUCAAAUCAGGUAGGACCACCCGCUGAACUUAAGCAUAUCAAUAAGCGGAGGA
rnacentral:misc_RNA from 1 species